rnacentral:misc_RNA from 1 species
UUUCCGUAGGUGAACCUGCGGAAGGAUCAUUAUUGUAUAACCGAGGUGCGAGGGCUGUCGCUGACCCGAAAGGUCGUGCACGCCCGAGUGCCCUCACACACAUCUAUCUCACCCCUAUGUGCACCACCGCGCGGGUCCCCCUUUGGCUUGUUCGGAGGGGGGCUUACGUUUUCACACAAACUUUGUAUGCAGUGUAGAAUGUAUUUUUUGUUUUUGCGAUCACGCAAUCAAUACAACUUUCAACAACGGAUCUCUUGGCUCUC